CAAUUACAACUUAAGGAUGUUAGCUUUAAUGGAUCAUGGGAUUGGAAUAAAUUGAUGACAAUAGUUCCAAACGAGCUAAUCACGACUGUUGAUCAGUUCCUUCCUCCUCUGGCCUUUGAUGAUGAUAUUCAGGAUAGAUGGGUUAGGGGAGCUUCUAAAACAGGAAGGUAUUCUUGUUCUACAACAUAUAGUUGGCUUUUACCUCGUUAUAGAGAGUUGAAUGAUAAUGAAAGUUGGGUUGGAUAUGGAAAUUGUCAAUUCCGGCCAAGAUGCAACAUGUAACACCCCGUUUUUCCAAUAUGAAAAUUUCUAAGCAAUUAUCAGAGUAAACAUCAUAAACGGGAUAUCACAUUCAAACAUAAUCCAAAAAUCAAUUAAAUAACAAUUUAACUUUCAACAAAAUAUCGUAAACAAUGCAGCGGAAAUUCAAUCGAAAUCCAUAAAAUCGUUUUGCCACGUAGGCCCCAUCAAAAUAUCUUAAAAGAGAGUUAAUCAAUAACAUAAAUAACAUAAUUGUUCACGUAAGAGAAUGAAGCAUGCAUAUCAUAAACCCCAUCCUGUUACGUAUCAGAGCGACCUAGACGACACAGUGAGGCAAGGCCACUCACGACAGCAAUAUGCACACUAAGCUCGAUCACCUGCAAGUUACUCAUACGAAGAGCAACAUUUCCAAGCAGAAGGGGUGAGAUUUCACAAAACAAUAAUAUUAAUCAAUAUAAUUCAACAAUUAUAAUUAACAACAUAAACAUCUUAAACAUCAUAGUAUCAUUGAUAAACAAAUAUCAGAUAAUCACUUAUUCAAAACAUCUUAAACAAAAUAACAUUUUUCAUCAAUUGACUCGACAAUGAGACAAUGCAACUUAGACCUCUUAUAUGCAUGUGGUAGCAUUACAGGGCAUGAGCCCCCAUCAUCAUAAUAUUAAUAUACUUUAAGCAUCGUGGGGAGGACAAAGCUCCAAUCGUGGUGAGGACAAAGCUCAAUUCGUGGUGAGGACAAAGCUCAAUGUAUGCUAAUGCAUGGACUCAAUCAUCUAAACAUCUUAAUCAUCAAUCUCUCAUACAUCCAAUAAUUUGGAGUUCAUCAUCAUCUUAUUCAGACUCAUGCAACUUAGUUAAAUAACGAUAGCAGCAUAAUCAGAUCACAUCAACAGCUUAAUAUCAAUUCAUUUUCAACAACUUUUUUAUCAUUCAAUAAUAAUUCAAGUAAUGCAAUCAAUUAAUAAAUCACAUUAUAAUCACUUAGCAUUUCAUAAUAGCUUCACAGUUUUCAGUUAACAUCCUAAAUAGGUCUCACUAUAACCUAAAGUUCCAUUCCUAAUCAAUUCAAGCACCUAAAGCCUCAAACUUCUCAAAUGCACUCAGUUUUGGAAGUGCUCGCGAGGCGAGAGCAUCUGCUCGCCAUGGCGAGUACUUGCCAGAUUUCCAACUAAGGUUGUUUCCAGGUUCAAUCUUGUUCUAAAACAUCCUCUAAUCUUUAGUAAACAUCUAAAGGUACUCAAAAGCAUCUAAGGUUCAACUCAAAAGUCAAAAACUCAGAAUUCGACAUGCUCUCUGUGGCGAGCUACGACAUGUAACUCGCGAGGCGAGGGGUAUUGGCUCGCGUGGCGAGCGAUGAACUUAUCACUCGCGAGGCGAGGUUCAUUGCUCACUAUGGCGAGCGAUGAAUGUAGGCUCGGGUAGAAUGCAAUUUUUACGAAAAAUACAUGAUUUCACAUGGUUCUAAGCCUAAUUUCAAUUCCAGAAUUCAUUCUAAACAUAAUCUAAGGUCAAGGGACGUUUUCUACAACAAUCUAACAACUUAUCAUCAUCGGAUCAUUAAAUUAUCUUAUUAACCCUAAUUUCAAAACCUUUCUAAUUCAAUCCUAACUUUGUUUAUUAAUCAUCAGAAUCAUAAGGAUCAAUAUUACUGAAUCAUUAGUCUCACCCUUACCUUAAUUGAAGAAAUCGCAGCUCUCCUAGGUGUUUUUGCUCUUCUCUUGGUUUUUCCUCCUUUUCUCCAAAAACAGUCGUACGUACUAAUUUUCUGCAAACCUAGGUCUUCCUUUUUAUAUCUCCUCCUAAUAUCUUAUCUUAUCUCACUUUCUCCCCCAAAACUCUUUAAAAUCUCAAAACAGCCCUCAACUAAAUAUUUUAUUUUAUUUUCAAAUCUUAUUUUAUUUAACAAUAAAAUAAGUCUCAUAAUCUCAUCAAAACAUCAAAACACAUCAAAAUCUUCCAAAUCAUCUAAAUCGUCAUAAUUCAUCAAAAAUCAGACAUAUAUUAUAUAAAUAUAAUAUAACUUGCCUAGACUCGAUUAAAUAAUUAAUUAAACGAAAGUGGACGUUACACAACAUUUCAUGUGGUUUUGCAUGCACAAUGCAAUCCCAACUAAUAAGCUUCGAUAUCACUACAACUUGGCAACUUCUCCGGUUUGCCAGCAAUGUGGAAAAUACGAUGAAGAUGUGCUUCACUACCUUGGUGAUAUUGGUUUUGGAGGUUUACUUCGUGAUAACAAGGGAAAUUGGAUAGCUGGAUUCUCUUCUAAUGAUGGGCAAGGGGAUGCGCUUUUCGCUGAGCUAUUUGGGGUUUACCAUGGUUUGAUGUUGGUAAUCAACAACUCUAUUCAACGAAUUAUUUGCGAAACAUAUUCUUUGGAAGUCUUCCGUCUUCUUCAAGAUCUAGAUCACUCUCAUAUGCAUGUGUAUGCCUCUUUGUUGGUGAAGAUUUUUGGGUUAAAGGAGCAUAUUUGUAACAUUUCUCUCCAACAUGUGCUUCGAGAGGGCAACCAUUGCGCAUAUUUUUUGGCCAAGCUCGGGAGCUCUUCAAGAUUAGGUGUGACUUUUUGGCAUGUUCCCCCAUCGGAGUUGAAGUCAGUCUUGAGGCUUGAUGCCCCAGGCUGAGCCCUGUUUUUAGGUUUUUUCUCUUUUUUUCUUUUUCUUUUGUCAUUUUACAAAAAAAAAAAAUAUAUAUAUCGUAUUUGUUACAAUUUUUUAAUAUUUAAAUUUAUUCGUAUGUAUUUGUCACAUGUAUUAUUUGUAUUGAAAAUUAAGAUCAUUUUUGGAAAGAGAAAAAAGAGUUGAAAGAGAUUAUUUUCUCUAUAUAUAGUAUAUAGAUAUAGAUUAUUAUUAUUAUUAUUAUUAUUAUCCUUUACUGUGACGAGUCAUCUUACGUUAUUUUUCGCAUAUUUUUCAGUCAUUUUAGUAAUUAUUUCAUCCAAAUUAUAAAAGUUUUUAAACAAUUGCCUAUAGUUUAUGAGACAUUUUGUAAUAUUUUCGUCUCGUUAGCAUGUUAGUUUUGUAAUUAAUUAUAUUAAUUGUAUAAUCUGCUAUAUAAUUUAUCACAUUCUUUAUGAUUCAAUGGACUGUCAAUAUAUUCCUAAGGGUUCGAAUGCCCUCUAGAAAGGCUAAGGCGCCCUCCUAGUAAAAAGACUUGAAGCCCACAUUACUUGGGGCUUAAGUCACGAAAAAUCAAGCCCACGGAGGACAAUAAAUACACCUCUUAAGAGAAUUCUCAAGCCAUCACAUAAACAGUCUAAAGCCUAGAUUCUAAUAUUGUACUCACUCCAAGUAUACCGAAUGAUUUCAUAAAAUAAAUAUAUUGAUCCUAUAAUAUGUUUCGCUUAUGAAUAAGAAAUUGACUCACUUAGAAGGCACGGGUUCAACUACCAUUUCCAACGUGAGGACCUUGUGCGGAGGGUGUGUACCUUUUUUCUUCAUAAUGCAUGGUGCACAUAGAACUAUUGCAUUUUUCACUAUUUUCUUCAAUCUUCAUGUGUUUUUAAUCCUUGAUAUGAGGUUGGGAUUUGAGACAGAAUUCCAAAGUUUCUUGAACUUCAAAAUUUUCAUCGUACUUGAUCCUACUUGCUUUUAUAACUUCUAUAAAGAUGUCUUUUGUUGGCUUAGUCCCAUGAUCUAUACCCAAAGAGACUCAAAACACCUAUCGAAUGUUCUAGUGAGGGAAGAAACAUAAAUAUUAAAUAUAAUGACACAAAACAUAGCAUGACAAAAGAAGAAAUGACACGAUAAAAUUUUAAAAUAAAUCAUUUGAUGAGGAAUCAUCACCUUCCCUGACCCUAUAGUGAAUCCCUCACCUAAAAUAUUUUUCACAAAAUAAUAAAAUAAAAAAUCUCUUUACUAUAACGAAAGGUUAAAAAGGCAAUGAUUUUAUAAGGAUAAGGUAAUGAAAAGUUACUUAAAUAAUUAAUAUUCGGUUCUUAUCAUUAUUAAGUUUAUUAUAUGAUCAAAACUCAUUGAUAUACUUAAGUGGCAUUUUGUAAGAGUUCUAAUUUCAUGAAGGGUUUCUAAAAUUUCAUUAAUGCUUAAAGUUUUUAAGUAUUUUCAUGAUAGAAUGAACUUUAUACUUUCCUCAAAAAAAGAAUUAACUAAUCUAUACACUAUAAAAAGAUGAAAUCAUAUCCUAUAUUUUAGAUUCAAAGAGGAAAAAUAUGGCUGAAAUUGUUAAGUUUUUUUAUGUUUUGUUUUUAUUUAUUUCCACACCUUUUAUCAUUAAAAAACCUGGUUCUCCUAAUUUGAGAAAUCAUUCUUGUUUAAGAGAUAAAGAUUGUCCACAGUUAAAAUUUCAUAAUAUUAGGUGUCGUAAUGGCUUUUGUGUAGAUAUCAGGUAAAAGAUUUCUUUUCCCUGGCAAAAUAAAUGUACAAUAUAUCUUAUGAUAGAAUAUUUCAUGAGAUGUCAUUUAGUUUUUGUGCUUGUAUCGAAUAAUUGUAUUUUCUUUUCCUUCUUUUUUAUCCUAAUUUUAUGGAUCUUGAAGUUAUGUUUUUUUUACUCUACGAUGAUGGCAAUGAAAUGAAAUAAGGCGGAAAAGAGUUCUAUUUAUAAUAUCAUUUGCUUGUAAAUUUUGAGGUAUAACCUUUACCUGCAAUUAUGACAUAUCACACCUUAUUUCCAAUUCCACCACCUAUAAAAAUUACUUUAGUAGGUUAUAAUAAGGGGAACUUCUACGGCACACUCGUAAAUUACAGUGUACCGGUACUCUUGUUUCCUAAAUCUAUAAAUUAACGAUCAAUUUUAUAAAACAAAUAGUUAUUUAUCGGCAUUUAUAUUUUAGAAAAUAUAAUUUCAUAAGAAAAACAAGUCAUCUAUUGUUUAUAAGAAUCAUAGUAAAUUUUUUACAUAUUAUUGUAUAAAAUAAUCAAAGUUCUCUAUUAUGAGUGAUCAAAAUUCAAAAGAAUUCAAUUUUAUUUCGUUGAC
rnacentral:lncRNA from 1 species